ensembl:lncRNA
CACCUGGUCCCACUGCUCCCUCAUCUUCGCUGCCUGCAAGCGGCAAGGAGCUUUUUAAGGCUUCAAUAGUUAAUCAUUCGUAAGAAAUAGGAAACAGACAUCGAAAAUAAUAAAUAAGGGAAAAACAAAAUUGUAUAAAACUCUCUGGUAGUUAGCAGUGGUCGACUUCUGAAAUACUAGAGGGUUUCAACUUAAAAUUAGGGCGUCUCAGACUUCCCUGGUGGUACAGUGGAUAGGAAUCCGGCUGCCAACGCAGGGAACGUGGGCUCAAUCUCUGGUCUGGGAAGAUCCCACAUACCUCGGAGCAAUGAAGCCCAUGUACCACAACUGCCGAGCCCACAUGCCCCCAAGCCUGUGCUCCGCAGGAAGAGAAGCCACUGCAGUGAGAAGCCCACACACUCAACGAAGAGAACCCGCUCACCGCAACUAGAGAAAGCCCUCGAGUGUCAAUGAAGACCCCAUGUAGCCAAUAAUGGUGGAGUAGCAGUUCUGUGGAUGAGAAUAUCAAGCAGGCAUUUUGAUGAUGCAGGUAAUGAAGCUGGUUGGAGAAAAUGGGAACUGCAUUGGAAAAUACCAAAUGAAUUCUUUUGUGUUCUCCUGUUCUAAUGCCUGGGUCAAAGCAACCCAAACCAACCGCAGUUCUGCAACACCAGGGGCUGAAUGUCCAACCUGCUGGCAUCUGAUCAACACUGAGACCCUGAGAUGGCACCGUGCCCCAAGGAGUCGGCAAGAGACCCCUCCAGCAGAAUCAGCCUCAGUGGGAUAGAUCUUUGCUCCAAUCAUGUGCUUGCCUUCCCUGCCCCCCAGGAGUUCCACCAGCACUAGCAUUCCCGAACUCAGAGACUGUCUUCUCUAUCACCACAAUGUUGUAAAGAGAUGCAUUUACAGAGGCUGUCAUUUGCCAGUGGGAUCUUGACCAAGGAACUCACUGGCUUUAUCACAUGCUUCAUUCUCUAGGACAAAAAAAAUCUAAGUCACUCAGUCGUAUCCGACUCUUUGUGACCCCACGGACUGUAGCAAGCCAGGCUCCUCUCUCGAUGAGAUUUCCCAGGCAAGAUUACUGGAGUGGGUAUCCAUUUCCUUCUCAACCCAGGGAUUGAACCCAGCAUUCCAGGCAGAUUCUUUACCAUCUGAGUCACUAGGGAAGCCCUUAGAGGAAUAUUUUUAGGACCAGGUGACAUAAUUGAUUACUUCCAAUUCAUUAAUGAUGUAUUUUGAAUCACCCAUUCAUUCAAUUAUCCAUUCAAUCUCCAACUCAAUGACUUUAGAGAAAUUAUGUCUAUGAAUUCUUCAUUUUUCAAAUAGUUUUCAGCAUCUUCUAGAAGUAUCUACAUUCUUCCUGCUGGAUUUUCACAGGGCUACUACAUAAUGGCAUUAAACUCUGAAUAGCAGCCUUCCCACAAAUUUCACAUGAAGCUGCUCCUUUUGAAACUAGACAAAAUAGCAAAGG